AUUUUAGCAUAAGUAUAUUCCAUGCAAGCUUUGGGACAUACUUAUGCUAAAC
rnacentral:pre_miRNA from 1 species